GUAAAUCAUCCCCAUACUGGGCCACUCGCUGCCUCACCUCGUCCAUCCAAUCAUCGCCAGAGCCUUCCAUACUUGUCUGCUCCAAGUCGCUGGAUACCUCUGCUCCCAGGGGCGCUGCACGUGUGCUAGCGUUGCCCUCAAUUUGUAACUCCACGAACUGUGUCUCUGAGCUGCUUUACCUCGCACUAGGAUACCAUCCCACCGCUUGCCACCAAUGUAACGGAUCGCCUGGCACCCCGACUGGGUACCUCCGUUAAAAGAUGCUCCUAGCGCUUCCUGAGGACUCCAAACACUGCAGCAGACACCACAAC
rnacentral:lncRNA from 1 species